CCCAGGUAAGAAGUGAAACCGUUAGCAAACAGUUUAACUUCUGACAUUGAGGAGGUGGCAGGGCCAGUGGUGUAUUUUGGAUCUGUGCUGCCCUAGGCAUAAUGGAACUCAGGAAUCCCUAAUUUACAUUUGCCCCACCCCUUCCUGUCAAGGCCACACCUCUUCAUGUUAAAGACUAACACACACUUUGACUGACAGAAAC